rnacentral:rRNA from 1 species
GAUGAACGCUGGCGGCGUGCCUAAUACAUGCAAGUCGAGCGAACAGACGAGGAGCUUGCUCCUCUGAUGUUAGCGGCGGACGGGUGAGUAACACGUGGAUAACCUACCUAUAAGACUGGGAUAACUUCGGGAAACCGGAGCUAAUACCGGAUAACAUGUUGAACCGCAUGGUUCAACAGUAAAAGACGGUCUUGCUGUCACUUAUAGAUGGAUCCGCGCCGCAUUAGCUAGUUGGUAAGGUAACGGCUUACCAAGGCAACGAUGCGUAGCCGACCUGAGAGGGUGAUCGGCCACACUGGAACUGAGACACGGUCCAGACUCCUACGGGAGGCAGCAGUAGGGAAUCUUCCGCAAUGGGCGAAAGCCUGACGGAGCAACGCCGCGUGAGUGAAGAAGGUCUUCGGAUCGUAAAACUCUGUUAUUAGGGAAGAACAAAUGUGUAAGUAACUAUGCACGUCUUGACGGUACCUAAUCAGAAAGCCACGGCUAACUACGUG